UGGGGUGUUUGGUGUCUGGGGAUCUUCCUUAUAGAGGGGGAUAACCUCUGGAAACUGUGGCUAAUACCGCAUAACCUCGCAAGACCAAGGAGGGGGACCUUUAGGCCUCUCACUAUCGGAUGAACCCAGAUGGGAUUAGCUAGUAGGCGGGGUAACGGCCCACCUAGGCGACGAUCCCUAGCUGGUCUGAGAGGAUGACCACCCACACUGGAACUGACACACGGUCCACACUCCUACGGGAGGCAGCAGUGGGGAAUAUUGCACAAUGGGCGCAAGCCUGAUGCACCCAUGCCGCGUGUAUGAAAAAGGCCUUCGGGUUGUAAAGUACUUUCAGCGGGGAGGAAGGCGAUGUGGUUAAUAACCGCAUUGAUUGACGUUACCCGCAAAAGAAGCACCGGCUAACUCCGUGCCAGCAGCCGCGGUAAUACAGAGGGUGCAAGCGUUAAUCGGAAUUACUGGGCGUAAAGCGCACGCACGCGGUCUGUUAAGUCAUAUGUGAAAUCCCCGGGCUUAACCUGGGAACUGCAUUUGAAACUGGCGCGCUUGAGUCUCGUAGAGGGGGGUAGAAUUCCGGGUGUAGC
rnacentral:rRNA from 1 species